GAGAGAUCAAGUGGUAAUUGGAUAUAUAGUGUGGGUCUUUCCUGGGUUUCGGGAUUGGGGAGUUUGUGGCUUUUAGCGUUUCAGAGGAAAAGCUUUUAGAAUUUGUUAUGUCUAAGAAAGUUUUUAAUAGUAGGGGGUUAUCACGGGCUCAAAGGAUUUAUAAAAAUACGCUGUAAAUCCAUCCGGACCAGGUGCUUUCCCAUUACUAAGCUUGGCAAUUGUUCUCUUUAUUUCCUCAGGUUCGAUGGGUUUGUUUAAAUUUACCAGUUUAUCAGGCUUUAAUUUAGGAAGAUUAAGCUUUGA